GAUGAAGAACGUAGCGAAAUGCGAUAAGUAAUGUGAAUUGCAGAAUUCAGUGAAUCAUCGAAUCUUUGAACGCACAUUGCGCCCGCCAGUAUUCUGGCGGGCAUGCCUGUUCGAGCGUCAUUUCAACCAUCAAGCCCCCGGCUUGUGUUGGGGACCUGCGGCCGCCGCAGGCCCUGAAAACCAGUGGCGGGCUCGCUAGUCACUCCGAGCGUAGUAAUACAUCUCGCUCAGGGCGUGCUGCGGGUUCCGGCCGUUAAAAAGCCUUAUUUACCCAAGGUUGACCUCGGAUCAGGUAGGAAGACCCGCUGAACUUAAGCAUAUCAAUAAGCGGAGGA
rnacentral:misc_RNA from 1 species